AUACGGAGAGUGCAAGCGUUACUCGGAAUCACUGGGCGUAAAGCGCGCGCAGGCGGUCUUUUAAGUUGGAUGUGAAAGCCUACGGCUCAACCGUAGAACUGCAUCCAAAACUAUUAGACUAGAGUGUGGGAGAGGAAGAUGGAAUUAGUUGUGUAGGGGUAAAAUCCGUAGAGAUAACUAGGAAUACCAAAAGCGAAGGCAAUCUUCUGGAACACUACUGACGCUGAGGCGCGAAAGCGUGGGGAGCAAACAGGAUUAGAUACCCCAGUAGUCC
rnacentral:rRNA from 1 species